rnacentral:rRNA from 1 species
UGGGGAAUUUUGGGCAAUGGGCGAAAGCCUGACCCAGCAACGCCGCGUGAAGGAUGAAGUAUUUCGGUAUGUAAACUUCGAAAGAAUAGGAAGAAUUAAUGACAGUACUAUUUAUAAGGUCCGGCUAACUACGUGCCAGCAGCCGCGGUAAUACGUAGGGACCAAGCGUUGUUCGGAUUUACUGGGCGUAAAGGGCGCGUAGGCGGCAAUUCAAGUCAGCUGUGAAAUCUCUGGGCUUAACCCGGAACGGCCAGCUGAUACUGCUUUGCUAGAGUGCGGAAGGGGCAAUCGGAAUUCUUGGUGUAGCGGUAAAAUGCGUAGAUAUCAAGAGGAACACCUGAGGUGAAGACGGGUUGCUGGGCCGACACUGACGCUGAGGCGCGAAAGCCAGGGGAGCAAACG